AUAUCAAUAAGCGGAGGAAAAGAAACCAACAGGGAUUGCCUCAGUAACGGCGAGUGAAGCGGCAACAGCUCAAAUUUUAAAGCCGGCGUCCUCGACGCCCGCGUUGUAAUUUGGAGAGGCAUCUUCGGUUUGGGCGCCAGCCUAUGUUCCUUGGAACAGGACGUCACAGAGGGUGAGAAUCCCGUGCUUGGCUGGCUGUCCCUCUCCAUGUGAAGUGUCUUCGACGAGUCGAGUUGUUUGGGAAUGCAGCUCAAAAUGGGUGGUAAAUUUCAUCUAAAGCUAAAUAUUGGCGGGAGACCGAUAGCGCACAAGUAGAGUGAUCGAAAGAUGAAAAGCACUUUGAAAAUAGAGUUAAAAAGUAC
rnacentral:rRNA from 1 species